GUCGUACUGGAGGAUGAAAAUAAGUAAUGGUCCAUUGGCUAAGUGUUUUAUCACAAUGCUGAAACUCAAAUUGCUGACAGAAAAAA